CAUAGCCAUGGUCUGUGUCAGGACGCAUGAGGACAUGGUCAUGGCACUAGUCGGGACGUUGCAAGACAUGGCAGGGCGUAGCCAUGGAACGAGUCGGGACAUCGCAGGACAUGGCAAGGCGUGGCCAUGGCAGGAGUCUGGACGUCGUCCUGACGCGUCAUGACAUGGCCAUGGCACGAGUCACAACGUCGCAUGACGCGUCCUGACAUGGCCAUGGUACGUGUCAGGAUGCAUCAAGACAUGGCCAUGUCACGAAUCGGGACGUCGCAGGACAUGGCAGUGCAUGGCCAUGGCAAGAUUCAGGACGUCGCAGGACGCGUCAGGACAUCGCCAUGGUACGUGUCAGGACGUAUCAGGACAUGGCCAUGGCACGUGUCAGGACGCUUCAGGACAUGGCCAUGGCACGUGUUAGGACGUGUCAGGACAUGGCAGGGCGUGGCCAUGGCACGAGUCGAGACGUCACACGACAUGGAAGGGCGUGGCCAUGGCACGAGUCAGGAUGUCGCAGGACGCGUCAGGAUAUGGCCAUGGCACGUGUCAGGACGCGUCAGGACAUGGCAAGGCAUGGCCAUGGCACGAGUCAGGACGUCGCAGGACAUGGCAGGAUAUGGCUAUGGUACGUGUAAGAACGUGUCAGGACAUGUCCAUGGCACGACAUCGCACCAAGCAGCACAACGUCGCUACAAGCCGCACCACGUCUUUUGCUAACCAAUUCUUAGAAACAUGUCAAGCGCAAUGAUGUUGGUGGUCGUUGGCGACGGUGGUGGAAAGUCGGGGUGGUUCGAGCGGUGGUGUCCAGUGACGGUCGGUCGACGCUUGGAGGUUGGCUGCGGUUUCUUCAAAUCCUAAUCACUUGUUGUUGUUCGGCAACACGUCAAGCGCAAUGAUGUUGGUGGUCUUUGGUGGCGGUGGUGGCAAGUCAUGGUGGUUCGAGCGGUAUCCACUAGCGACGGUUGGUCGACGCUUUGUGGUCGGGUGCGGAUUUUUCAAAUCAGAAUCACUUGUAGUGGUUGCGACAAUGGAGGUGCCUCGUGCUUGUUGGCGAUUGGUGAUCUAUACGCUUUUAUAAUAAUAUUAUGUAUUUUUCCUAUUUUUAAUAUAUUUUUUUAGGAAUUUUUAUGCAUUUGUAUGCAUUUUUAGUUAUUUUAAAUUAGUUUUAUGUCACUUUUUAAUAAAAUAUUUACUCUUUUAUAUUUUGUACUAUUACAAGAUGUACUGGAAUUUUUCUCCAUCAUUAUUUCUAUUUUGAUAACAAUUUUCAUAUUUUUUAGCUUAUGGCGUAGAUGGCUUUCGGCAAUGGAACAGCAGAGCGUCGUGCAAGUAGCGCCACAAGGUGCGUGCACAUGGGGUGAUGCUUAGUAAGUUGCCUAUUACCAUUGAUUGUUAUGGGUUGUGUCAAUAUACCCCCCUCCGUGGAGGCAUAUGGCUUUGCAAUGUUGGCAUCGGCUUGUGUGGCGAGGUUGGAUCCCUACUCGAGCAGCGACGUCCUAGCUCGCAUGCAAUCUCACUCAUGUCACAAGCGAAAAUUAGGCUUGUUCGACGUCAGUUUUUUGUGUUGCAUACCUAAUGCCAAGGCAUUAUCAAGCACAAUCGGUCGCCUUUCGCCCCUCGCGUUCGACGUGCGGGGUGAACGAAAAGCUGUACUUGUGUCCCAGGUCGUCCUGGCUUCGCCUUGCAAUGGCUUGGUCCACGACUUACCAUGCUUGGGAUCUCGGAUUCGGUAAACGCAAUGGGCACAGGGCCUUCGUUGGCUCCUAUCUGCCCAAAGAAUGCUCCUUACGAAUGACGGUCGUGCUCGCCUUGGACUUUGCCGCGCCCUUUUGGGUCGGCCAUGCUCAUGCGAUGCCGACGGUAAUGAGGAAUGCUACCUGGUUUAUCAUGCCAGUAGUCAUAUGCUUGUCUCAAAGAUUAAGCCAUGCAUGUGUAAGUAUGAACAAAUUAAGAUUGUCACUCUGCGAAUGGCUCAUUAAAUAAGUUAUAGUUUGUUUCAUGGUAUCUACUACUAGGAUAACCAUAGUAAUUGUAGAGCUAAUACGUGCAACAAACCCCAACUUCUGGAAGGGAUGCAUUUAUUAGAUAAAAGGUCGACACGGGCUCUGCCCGUUGCUGCUAUGACUCAUGAUAACUCAACGGAUCUCACGGCCAUCGUGCCGGAGACGCAUCAUUCAAAUUUCUGCCCUAUCAACUUUCGAUGGCAGGAUAGUGGCCUACUGUCAGGACCCUAACUUUGUCAUCGGACGUGGCACGAAUGUGGCAAGGAUUUGGGCGUGAUGGCCUUGUCAUUGGCCUAUGUGCGAGCAAAACGAUCAUGCGGGUUGACAUGUUAUGGUGGACAAUUAUUGGCCAAGGCCUUGGCAUGGGCAAGGUGCGCUUGGAAAAGGCUUGAAGAGGAAACAUCGGCAAUGGUUGGGCGGCUUGGCACGGCAUGUGCGCCAAACUCAGAUUCAUGACACUCUUGGCUUGUGGCAGCUAUGUGCGGGCUAAGCUAAGGCGAGGCGGAAAUGCGGGUUGACGGAAAAGGUAUUCAAUAGCUACGACUAGGUUAUGGGAAAGAGAACACAUUUCAUUGGCAUGGGCAAUGUCUAAUUUACCUAAGGAAUGGCACGGGCAGCCGUGGGGGCGAAAUUAAGCUGGCCAAGGAAAUGGCACAUGCAAAACACAUGGAAAGCGGUUGGCGGCGUUGUUUGUAGGCCAUGAUCUCCCAUGAUCUCCCAUUAUCCCAUGAACUUAUUAUUUUUUUUUAUAGUGGCCCUAUUUCGUGCAUAAUGAUCCUAAGUAGUUGGGGAUGUCAACUACAAGUUAGGAGCAUGAUUUAAGCUUAGUCCGACAAGUGGCAAAAGCUGUUAGACAACAAGUGUCCUGGGCGGUUAAGUUUAACGGCCUAUAAAUAGUACCCUUCACUUAGGCAAAGCAACGAAGUAUGUUCAAGGGAAUUACUUGAGGGAAAAUAGAGUAAGUUCAAGGGAAUUACUCGUGGGAAACAAGAGCGAAAUGUGAGGGUUAUCUAGUGUUUCCAAAAAGGGGCUAAGGUUGUGCAUGGGCAGAUCUUAGUGUUGGCCAAGAACGACCAGGUGUUCUCCGUCAAAAGUGGGUUGUGAGCGGACGGAUAGUUCAUAGCAAUUGAGGGUCCUUUGUAUAUUUUCUAUAUUAAUGCAAAGGCUGGGAAUUUGUCCUAUAUGUUUGUAUUCCUUUAAAAUUCUAUUUUUUGCCUAAAUUUUGUCUAAGGUCAAACUUGCUGAAAAUUGCAAGUGUUUCGGAAGGCUGAGUCAAGCACGGGACUUGACUGCCGUGCGAGUGUGGUUUUGGACUAGGUCAAAAACACCCUCGUGAAAAUUGGUAUCAGAGCUGAGCAGGUUUGUGGCAGUGGCGAAACGAUCAGUGGCAGAUUACGUAAGAAUUUUUGAGAACAUGGCUGGUGGCACAAACGCGGAGCUGCAUCAAAGAGUUGAGUAGUUAGAAGCACUAGUUAAGCAGGAUCUUGAAAGUGAUGGUGAUUUUUAUGUUCUUGCUAGAAUGGCACGUUUGGAAGCAGAUUAUGCAGCGAGACAUGAGACAGUGCUGGCAGAAAUUACCUUGGUACGCCAAGAGAAAGAUGAAUUACGCGAGGAAGUGGCUGAUCUUCGAAGGGCAUUACAAAAUUCUGCCCGUAGAAAUGAUGAGCGCACUAAGCUGAGGAUUCCGGAGCCAAGGCUUAUGGUGGUGCAAUAAGUGCCAACGAACUUGAAAAUUUCUUGUGGUAUAUGGAGCAGUAUUUCCAGGCUGCACGUGUGUAGGAUGAUGAAAAGGUGGUGAUCACACCAAUGUACUUGACGGACGAUGCAAAGGUGUGGUGGCAUACACAAAGUGCAGAUUGAUAAGGUGCUGGACUGCCCAAGGUCAGAACUUGGGAGUUGAUGAAGAAGGAAUUAAAAUCCCAAUUCCUUCCAACAAAGUCAUCGUGAUGGCAUGAGAUGGACUGCGUCACUUGAAACAGAGUGGCACGGUGAGGGAGUAUGUCAAGAAAUUUUCGUCCUUGAUGCUCAAUGUAAGUAAAAUGGUAGAAGAAGACAAGCUGCAUUACUUCAUUAAUGGGUUGAAGGGAUGGGCGCAAUAAGAGUUGAGAAGGUAAAAUGUGCAAAGCCCUUCUACUGCCAUUGCAGCGGCAGAUGCGUUGGCGGACCUGAUUAUAUGUGAUGAACCUAUUGAAACUUUGCAUUCAAAGUCCGAUGGAAGGAAGGACAAAGCAAGGGAAUGGUAGAGAAAUGGGAAGGGCCAAGCGUCUGAAAUGAGGACCUUGUCAAGAUUGUGAGACUGGAAAAUCACAAUGGCAAGGAAAGGAACAGCGUGUUCAAAGGCUGUUUCACUUGUGGUGGACCGCACUUGAAGAGGGAUUGUCCGAUGCAGGCAAAGUUAAAUGCAGUGCUAGCUGCGGAGGGACAGGAACAAGUAGCGGAGGCAAAUGCCAUAGUUGCAGAUGCGUGGGGAGCACCCGCGCGGUGUUUGUCAACAACCCCUUGGGGUUGUUAAAUUUAGACAGCUACACGAGGAUGUCGAUUGCAAAGGGAAGAGCUGUUUCGUCAGGACCCUAACUUUUGUCAUCGGACGUGGCACGGCUGUGGCAAUGAUUUGGGCAUGAUGGCGUUGUCAUUGGCCUAUGUGCGAUCAAAACGAUCAUGCGGGUCGAAAGGCUGUGGUGGACAAGUAUUGGCCAAGGCCUUGGCAUGGGCAAUUUGCGCUUGGAAAAUGCUUGAAGAGGAAGCAUCGGCAAUGGUUGGGUGGCAUGGUACGACAUGCGUGCGAAACUUAGUGGCAUGACACUCUUGGGUUGUGGCAGCUAUGUACGGGCUAAUCUAAGGCGAGGCGGAAAUGCGGGUUGACGGAAAAGGCUUUUAAUAGCUAAGACUAGGCCCUGGGAAAGAGAAUACAAGCAAUGGCAUGAGGGAAAUUAGGUUGGCACGGACAAGGCACAAAACCUGGCCAAGGCAGUAUGCGGGUGUAUGGGCGCCGGGCGUGUGCGAAAAUAUCAUGGCAGCAGAUUGCGGGCAAUACAUUGGCAUAGGCAAUGUCUAAUUGACCUAAGGAAUUGCACGGGCAGCCUUGGGGGCGAAAUAAUGCUUGCCAAGGAAAUGGCACAUGCAAAGCACAUGGAAAGCGGUUGGCGGCGGUUACCUUGUUUGUAGGCCAUGAUCUCUCAUGAUCUCCCAUUAUCCCAUGAACUGAUUAUUGUUUGUAUAGUGGCCCCAUUUCGUGUAUAAUGGUCCUAGGUAGUUGGGGAUGUCAACUACAAGUUAGUAGCAUGAUUUCAGCUUAGUCCGACAAGUGGCAAAAGCUGUUAGACAACAAGUGUCAUGGGCGGUUAAGUAUAAGGGCCUAUAAAUAGGACCCUUAACUUAGGCAAAGCAACGAAUUAAGUUCAAGGGAAUUACUUUUGGGAAACUAGAGUACUCGGAUAACCAUAGUAAUUCUAGAGCUAAUACGUGCAACUAACCCCCACUUCUUGAAGGGAUUCAUUUAUUAGAUAAAAGGUCGACGCGGGCUCUGCCCGUUGCUGCGAUUAUUCAUGAUAACUCGACGGAUCGCACGGCCAUCGUUCCGGCAAUGCAUCAUUCAAAUUUCUGCCCUAUCAAAUUUCGAUUGUAGGGUAGUGGCCUACUGUCAGAACCCUAACUUUUGUCAUCGAACGUGGUAUGGCUUUGGUAAGGAUUUGGGCGUGAUGGCCUUGUCAUUGGCCUAUGUGCGAGCAAAACGAUCAUGCGGGUCAACGGGUUGUUGUGGACAAUUAUUGGCCAAGGCCUUGGCAUAGUCAAGGUGCGCUUGGAAAAGGCUUGAAGAGGCAGCAUCACCAAUAGUUGGGCGGCAUGGCACGGCAUGCGCGCCAAUCUCAGUGGCAUGACACUCUUGGGUUGUGGCAGCUAUGUGCGGGCUAAGCUAAGGCGAGGCGGAAAUGCGGGUUGACGCUAAAGGCUUUCAAUAUCUAAGACUAGGCUAUGGGAAAGAGAAUACAAGCAAUGGCAUGAGGGAAAUGAGGUUGGCACGGACAAGGCAGAAAACUAGGCCAAGGCAGUGUGUGGGUGUAUGGGCAUCAGGCAUGUGCAAAAAUAUCAUGGCACCGGAUUGUGGGCAAGACAUUGGCAUGGGCAAUGUCUAAUUGACCUAAGGAAUGGCACGGGCAGCCUUGGGGCGAAAUGAAGCUGGCCAAGGAAAUGGCACAUGCAAAGCACAUGGAAAGCGGUUGGCGGCGUUGUUUGUAGGCCAUGAUCUCCCAUGAUCUCCCAUUAUCCCAUGAACUGGUUAUUGUUUGUAUAGUUGCCCUAUUUCGUGUAUUAUGAUCCAAAGUAGUUGGGGAUGUCAAGUACAAGUUAGGAGCAUGAUUUAAGCUUAGUCUGACAAGUGGCAAAAGUUGUUAGACAACAAGUGUCAUGGGCGGUUAAGUUUAGGGGUCUAUUAAUAGGACCUUUAACUUAGGAAAAGCAGCGAAGUAAGUUCAAGGGAAUUACUUGUGGCAAAAUAUAGUAAGUUCAAGGGAAUAACUCGUGGGAAACAAGAGAGAAACGUGAGGGUUUUCUAGUGUUUUCAAAGGUGGGCUAAGGAUGUGCAUGGGCAGAUCUUAGUGUUGGCCAAGAACGACCAGGUGUUCUUCGUCAAAAGUGGGCUGUGAGUGGACGGAUAGUUCAUAGCAAUUGAGGGUACUUUGUAUAUUUUCUAUAUUAAUGCAAAGGUUGGGAAUUUUUCCUAUAUGUUUGUGUUCCUUUAAAACUUUGUUUUGUUGCUAAAUUUUGUCUAAGGUCAAACUUGCUGAAAAUUGCAAGUGUUUCGGAAGGCUGAGUCAAGCACGGGACUUGACUGCCGUGCGAGUGUGGUUUUGGACUAGGUCAAAAACACCCUCGUGAAAAUUGGUAUCAGAGCUGAGCAGGUUUGUGGCAGUGGCGAAACGAUCAGUGGCAGAUUACGUAAGAAUUUUUGAGAACAUGGCUGGUGGCACAAACGCGGAGCUGCAUCAAAGAGUUGAGUAGUUAGAAGCACUAGUUAAGCAGGAUCUUGAAAGUGAUGGUGAUUUUUAUGUUCUUGCUAGAAUGGCACGUUUGGAAGCAGAUUAUGCAGCGGCGGAUGUGGUUUCGGACUACUUCAAAAUCGCCCCCGUGAAAAUUAGUAUCAGAGCUGAGAAGGUUCAUGGUUGCGGCGAAACGAUCAGUGGCAGAUUACGUUGGAAUUCUUGAGAACAUGGCUGGUGGAACAAAUGCAGAGCUGCAUCAAAGAGUUGAACAGUUGGAAGCACUAGUUAAGCAGGCUCUUGAAAGUGAUGGUGAUUCUUAUGUUCUUGCUAGAAUGGCACGUUUGGAGGCAGAUUAUGCAGUGAGACAUGAGACAGCGCUGGCAGAAAUGGCCUUAGUACGCCAAGAGAAAGAUGAAGUAUGCGAGGAAGUGGCUGAUCUUCGAAGGGCAUUACAAAAUUCUGCCCCCUAGAAAUGAUGAGCGCACUAAGCUGAGGAUUCCGGAGCCAAAGGCUUAUGGUGGUGCAAAAAGUGCCAAGGAAGUGGAAAAUUUCAUGUGGUAUAUGGAUCAGUAUUUCUUGGUUGCACGUGUGCCGGAUGAUGAAAAGGUGGUGAUCACACCAAUGUACUUGACGCACGAUGCAAAGGUGUGGUGGCAUACACAAAGUGCACAUGGAGAAGGUGCUGGAUUGCCCAGGGUCGGAACUUGGGAGUUGAUGGAGAAGGAAUUAAAACCCCAAUUCCUUCCAACAAAGUCGUCGAGGAUGGCACGAGAUGGACUGCGUAACAUAAAACACAGUGGCACGGUGAGGGAGUAUGUCAAUGAAUUUUCGUCCUUGAUGCUCAAUGUAGGUAUAAUGGCAGAUGAAGACAAGAUGCAUUACUUCAUGAGCGGGUUAAAGGGAUGGGCGCAAUUGGAGUUGAGAAGGAAAAAUGUGCAAAGCCUCUCUACUGCCAUUGCAGCGGUAGAGGCGUUGGCAGACCUUAAUAUAGGUGAUGAACCUAUUGAAACUUCGCAUUCGAAGUCCGACGGAAGGAAUGACAAAUCAAGGGAAUGGAAGAGAAACGGGAAGGGCCAAGCGUAUGAAAUGAGGAACUUGUCAAGAUUGUGAGACCGUAAAAUCACAAUGGCAAGGAAAGGAAAAACGUGUUCAUAGGCUGUUUCACUUGUGGUGGACCGCACUUGAAGAGGGACUGUACGAUGCAGGCUAAGGUAAAUGCACUGCUAGCUGCGGAGGGACAGGAACAAGUGGCGGAGGCAAAUGCCAUAGUGGUAGAUGCGAGGAGAGCACUCGGGCGGUGUUUGUCAAUAACCCCUUGGGGUUGUUAAAUUGAGACAGCUCGACGAGGACAUCGAUUUCAAAGGGAGGAGGUGUUUUGUCAGGACCCUAACUUUUGUCAUCAGACGUGGCAUGGCUGUGGCAAUGAUUUGGGCAUGAUGGCCUGGUCAUUGGCCUAUCUGCGAGCAAAACGAUCAUGCAGGUCGACGGGCUGUGGUGGACUAGUAUUGGACAAGGCCUUGGCAUGGGCAAGGUGCACUUGGAAAAGGCUUGAAGAUGAAGCAUCGGCAAUGGUUGGGCGGCAUGGCACGGCAUGCGCGCCAAACUCCGUGGCAUGAUACUCUUGGGGUUUGGCAGCAAUGUGUGGGAUAAGCUAAGGCGAGGCGGAAAUGCGGGUUGACGGCAAAGGAUUUUAAUAGAUAAGACUAGUCUAUGGUAAAGAGAAUACAAGCAAUGGCAUGAGGGAAAUUAGGUUUGCACGGAUAAGGCAGAAAACUAGGCCAAGGCAGUGUGCGGGUGUAUGGGCGCUGGGCGUGUGCGGAAAUAUCAUGGCAGCGGAUUGCGGGUAAGACAUUGGCAUGGGAAAUGUCUAAUUGACCUAAGGAAUGGCACGGGCGGCCUUGGGGCGAAAUUAAGCUGGCCAAGGAAAUGGUACAUGCAAAGCACAUGGAAAGCGGUUUGCGGCGGUUACCUUGUUUGUAGGCCAUGAUCUCUCAUGAUCUCCCAUUAUCCCAUUAACUGAUUAUUGUUUGUAUAGUCACCCCAUUUCGUGUAUAAUGGUCCUAAGUAGUUGGGGAUGUCAACUACAAGUUAGAAGCAUGAUUUAAGAUUAGUCCGACAAGUGGCAAAAGCUGUUAGACAACAAGUGUCAUGGGCGGUUAAGUUUAGGGGGCCUAUAAAUAGGACCCUUAUCUUAGGCAAAGCAACGAAGUAAGUUCAAGGGAAUUACUUGUGGCAAAAUAGAGUAAGUUCAAGGGAAUUACUCGUGGGAAACAAGAGAGAAACGUGAGGGUUUUCUAGUGUUUCCAAAAGGGGGCUAAGGUUGUGCAUGGGCAGACCUUAGUGUUGGCCAAGAACGACUAGGUGUUCUUCGUCAAAAUUGGGCUGUGAGCAGACAGAUAGUUCAUAGCAGGCAUAUCUUAGUGUUGGCCAAGAACGACCAGGUGUUCUUCGUCAAAAGUGGGCUGUGAGCGGAUGGAUAAUUCAUAGCAAUUGAGGGUCCUUCGUAAAUUUUCUAUAUUAAUGCAAAGGUUGGGAAUUUGUCCUGAGUCAAGCACAGGACUUGACUGCCGCGCGGGUGUGGUUUUGGACUAGGUCAAAAACGCCCCCAUGACACCUACCAUGGUGGUGACGAGUGACAGAGAAUUAGUGUUCGAUUGCGGAGAGGGAGCCUGAGAAACGGCUACCACAUCUAAGCAAGGCAGCAGGCGCCCAAAUUACCCAAUCCUGACACGGGGAGGUAGUGCCAAUAAAUAACAAUACCGGGCUUUAUGAGUAUGGUAAUUGGAAUGAGUACAAUCUAAAUCCCUUAACGAGGAUCGAUUGGAGGGCAAGUCUGGUGCCAGCAGCCGCGGUAAUUCCAGCUCCAAUAGCGUAUAUUUAAGUUGUUGCAAUUAAAAAGCUCGUAGUUGGACUUGGGGAUGGGCCGGCCGGUCCGCCUUUGGUGUGCACCGGUCGUCUCGUCCCUUCUGCCGGCGAUGCGAGAUCGGAAGACAAUUAAAAAGCUCGUAGUUGGACUUUGCGAUGGGCCGGCCGGUCUGCCUUAGGUGUGCACCGGUCGUCUCGUCCUUUCUGCCGGCGAUGCGCUCCUAGCCUUAAUUGGACGGGUCGUGCUUCCGGCGCUGUUACGUUGAAGAAAUUAGUGUGCUCAAAUCAAGCCUACGCUCUGUAUACAUUAGCGUGGGAUAACAUCAUAGGAUUUCGGUCCUAUUACGUUGGCCUUCGGGAUCGGAGUAAUGAUUAACAGGGACAGUCGGGGGCAUUCGUAUUUCAUAGUCAGAAGUGAAAUUCUUGGAUUUAUGAAAGACGAACAACUGCGAAAGCAUUUGCCAAGGAUGUUUUCAUUAAUCAAGAACGAAAGUUGGGGGCUCGAAGACGAUCAGAUACCGUCCUAGUCUCACCAUAUACGAUGUCGACCAGGGAUCGGCGGAUGUUGCUUUUCGGACUCCGCCGGCACCUUAUGAGAAAUCAAAGUUUUUGGGUUCCGGGGGGAGUAUGGUAGCAAGGCUUAAUCUUAAAGGAAUUGACGGAAGUGCACCACCAGGAGUGGAGCAUGCGGCUUAAUUUGGCUGAACGCGGGGAAACAUACCAGGUCCAGACAUAGUAAGGACUGACAGACUCAGAGCUCUUUCUUGAUUCUAUUGGUGGUGGUGCAUGGCCGUUCUUUGUUGGUGGAGCGAUUUGUCUGGUUAAUUUCGUUAACGAACGAGACCUCAGCCUGCUAACUAGCUAUGCCGAGGUAUCCCUUCGCGGCCAACUUGUUAGAGGGACUACGGCGUUUUAGGAGGCGGAAGUUUGAGGCAAUAACAGGUUUGUGAUACCUUUAUAUGUUCUGGGCCACACGCGUGCUACACUGAUGUAUUCAACGAGUUUAUAGCCUUGUCCGAAAGGCCCGGGUAGUCUUUGAACUUUCAUCGUGAUGGGGAUAGAUCAUUGCAAUUGUCGGUCUUCAAUGAGGAAUUCCUAGUAAGCGCGAGUCAUCAGCUCGCGUUGACAACGUCCCUGCCCUUUGUACACACCGCCCGUCGCUCCUACUUGAAUGAAUCGAUGAAAUGUUCGGAUCGCGGCGACGUGGGUGGUCCGCUGCCCGCGACAUCGUGAGAAGUCAAUUGAAACACAGAUGACUCUUGGCAACAGAUAUCUCGGCUCUCGCAUCGAUGAAGAACGUAGUGAAAUGCGAUACUUGGUGUGAAUUGCAAAAUCCUGUGAACCAUCGAGUCUUUGAACGCAAGUUGCGCCAGAAGCCAUAAAGCCGAGGGCACGUCUGCCUGGGCGUCACGCAUGGCAUCGCCCCUGCACACCGCACCCAUUCUCAUGGUCGUGGUGGUGUCAUGGGACGGAUAUUGGCUUCCCGUGUGCCUCGAGCAUGCGGUGGGCCUAAAUGCGAGUCCACAGCGACGGACGUCACGACAAGUGGUUGUUGAAACUCAACUCUCGUAAUGUCGCGGCUCCAACCCGUUGCUUGUUUGGUCUCCCCGACCCUUAUCGCGCUUCCAGGGUACGAGUCAGGACAUGGCAGGGCGUGGCCAUGGCACGAGUCAGGACAUGGCAGCGACCCUUAUCGCUGCUUAGGCGCUCCGACCGCGACCCAGGUCAGGCGGGACUACCCACUGAGUUUAAGCAUAUCAAUAAGUGGAGGAAAAGAAACUUACAAGGAUUCCCCUAGUAACGGCGAGCAAACCGGGAACAGCCCAGCCUUAGAAUCGGGCAACUCCGUCCUCCGAUUCUAGUCCGGAGAAGCGUCCUCAGCGGUGGACCGGGCCCAAGUCCCCUUGAAGGGGGCGCCAGAAAGGGUGAGAGCCCCGUUGUGCCCGGACCCUGUCGCACCACAAGGCGCUGUCUAUGUGUCGGGUUGUUUGGGAAUGCAGCCCAAAUCGGGCGGUAAAUUCCGUCCAAGGCUAAAUACGGGCGAGAGACCGAUAGCGAACAAGUACAGCGGCACGUGUCAGGACAUGGCAGGGCGUGGCCAUGGCAAGAGUCAGGACGUCGCAGGACGCGUCAAGACAUGCCCAUGGUACGUGUCAGGUCAUNNNNNNNNNNNNNNNNNNNNNNNNNNNNNNNNNNNNNNNNNNNNNNNNNNNNNNNNNNNNNNGGUCGAUAGCGAACAAGUAUCGCGAGGGAAAGAUGAAAAGGACUUUGAAAAGAGAGUCAAAGAGUGCUUGAAAUUGUCGGGAGGGAAGAGGAUGAGGCCGGCGAUGCACCCCGAUCGGAUGUGAAAUGGUGUUAAGCCAGUCCGCCGAUCGACUCAGGGCGUGGACCAUCGUAGAUUGGGGGAGCGGCCAAAGCCCGGGGUUUUGAUACACUCGUGGAACGCCGUCUCCUUUAUUGUGGUUAGGCAGCGCGCGCCUCUGGCAUGCUUCGGCAUCUGCGCGCUCCGGACGCUGGCCUGUGGGCUCCCUAUUAGACCCUUCUUGAAACACGGACCAAAGAGUAUGACAUGUGUGCGAGUCAACGGGCGAGUAAACCCAUAAGGCGUAAGGAAGCUGAUUGGUGGGAUCCCCUUGAGGGGUGCACCACCGACCGACCUUGA
rnacentral:lncRNA from 1 species